rnacentral:lncRNA from 1 species
CAGCGUAUUCCCCUGACACAAACCUAAUCAUGCCAGUUGCCACUAUUUUGAGACAAUUAAACAAUUACGGAUUUAAUGUCCCAAUUGACAAUAGAUUAUCAAAUUAACUAAUUAUCCGGAUCCAAGACAAUCAAUUAAUCAAACAAUCAUAAGCACUGCAACCAAGGAAUAUGCGAAUACCAAUAAAUAAAGGAAAAGAUAAAAUUAAAUCGAUCUCACAAUUUUUAGGCGAUCCAAAGCAUCCGUUGCUCCUUAACUAGAAAAAGGGAAUUAGUUCAUUUUGGUGAACAAAUCCCACGCAAAAUCGAAGAGGAAACUGCAGCCAUCAAUUGGAAAAUGCACAAAUUCGAUCCGAUGGAAUACGGGCUGAAAAGAAAAGCUACUGGAAGUAUCCAUUGUUUUUGCUUCUCCUAACAUACGGAGAAAAGAAAACUACUCAAGGCUAAAAGGAAAAGUCAAAGCUAAAGCUACCAAAAUGCUUCCUGACAUGCCAGGGAGACCAAAAGCUGAGCUAAGUUGUCUUUUGCUCCUGCCAUGCCCGCAGGAGGUUUUUUCAAGCCAGAGGCCCCCCCCCAGGGAAAAGUCCAGCCUUUUUCUUUUAAGCUACAGACGAGAAACUCAAGAUAAAGCCAGCCGUCAGAUGUGCGGCGGCUCUUAGGAGAAAGAAACCCUUCGUCCGUCAUUCCUCUGCAGAAAUUACCGAAAUGGGCGUGACAUCUUCUUUUCCAAAAAUGCCCCUGGGGCAGGCUCUAUCACUUGGGCUCCUUUUCUGCCAAAUUGGUACUUAUUAUCAUAUUUUUGUUCUACUCCCUGAAAUAAAUGAUAAAUACUAAAAGUGAGUAGAAUCCAGCAAUUAAUCCACAUCAAGUCAGGUAAUAGGGGAAAUUAAUAAUAAAAUAAAUGAUAAAAUUGCAACCUAUCAAUUCCCCCCACACCUAAACCAUGCUUGUCCUCAAGCAUAAGAGUAGUAAACGAACACCAAAUUUUGAUAAUGGCCACUGCUCUAUCCACCAAAUUGCCAAGAUACCAAGAAAAAUAAUAAUCAAGCAUCAAUGGUCAAGUCCAAGAAACAUCACUCCUGGUUAGCUUCUAAACCAUAAACUCUUCCAAUUUCAGGUUAACGAAUCUAAGAAAAAGGAAUAAUGUACAACAUUUAUCAGCAAAUGGUCCAACUAUUAACCAAAAUCUCAACAUUAAAUCCAUAAUUCGGCAAGCUGACUUUUAUUACACACUAACACAACCUUCACUUUUUUUCACAAUUUUUUUUUCUACCUUUCUCUCUUUUUUUUUUUUUUUAUUCUCUUCUUUUUUUUUUUCAAUAGUAACAAAAGACUUAGUCGCUAUCCAUUUGAGCCUUUUGACGCGAACUCCAACAUUGGUCAGAUAAAGAAGCCCGGUUACUCAGCUUCUAUCGCCACGUGACCACGUACUCAUAGGAAUUACUACCUUUUGACGCGAGAAUCAACACUUUUGGUGAAAAUCCCCAGUUACUCGGUAGUAAAGACUAGCGGAGUACAGUCAACUCUUAUUCACAGCUAAUAACACAAAAACUCAAUAUAAAACAAAAAUCAAAAGAAAAUUUGCAUCAGCUAGCCUCAUUUUCAAACAUGGAGAACUAAAGUUAAUAACCGGACCAAUUCACAUGAAAAUGCCAAUAAUCAUUCCCUAUGCCUAGGAAAGUUAACCAAAAAUUAUAAGAGUAAAACAAUCAUCGAUAUUCACCAAAGAGAUAUUUUUGGACUCAACCAUAUUAACUUGAUACCCUUUUAUUAUUAAAAUUUGGCAAUAGCAGAAAUAGAGGCAACAAUCCAACAUCAAAUUUUUGCAUGCACUUACGAGCCAAUCACUAAAAAGAAGAAAAUGAAAAUGAAAAUGAACGAAAGAUACUAGCACCAUAACUGCUCCCCCCACACCUAAAUCCUACAUUGUCCUCAAUGGAGGAAUUAAAGCAAUUAAAGUGAAGAGGACAACGAAACUUCCCUCUUUGAGUGGCCAAGAGGUAGGCGGGGACGGUGGAGGAAACCAAUGUGGUGGAAGUACGCGCCCAAGUUCUGAGACAUCAUACUCAAUUCAACCAGCAAAUGCAAAACUCUGUCCUCCCAAAAUCUCAACAAAUAACUCCAGUUGGCCAGUUAAUGCCUUAUCUCAGAAUCAGAAAUUUUAACAUUGAGAGUUUAGGUAUUUGACAAUAACAAUUCAGUCAUAAGUUCUUGGCUGUCAAUUAGACAGCCAAUCAGAUGGAAUUAAAAAAAAAUCUAGUCAAAAUACCCCAACCAGUACCAUUGGUGCACCCCACAGAUAAUGAAGCAACUUAAAUGGCAAACCCAAUCAACAAAAUGUACAUGUGAGGCACCCAAGGUCUAUACAAAUAUCCCAACAAUACAGCAAUUUCAAUCAAUACUCACGGGUGGCCCCAAUUGGGUCAAAUGCAGGCAGUCCAACAUCGCAACAAAUGCUCUAAAGAUUUAGCAAUUGAAAUCAAUAGGUAAAAUACUCCCAGCAAGUCAAUUAGACGCCACCAACAGCAAUAAGCAAUGGAAGUGGCACAGUAGCCUUCCAAUUCAACAAACAAAUGCAGAAAAUACCCAACCAAAGGCACUUCAAGGGACGCAAGACAGAAAUCAGCAAAGUAGAACCCAAGUGAUACCAAAAAUAAAAUUAACAAAGCAGUGAAUUCAACCAAUUUGAAUACAUAGAAUACGGUCAGAAAUGCCUCCUAAAAAUCAACAAAGAGCGGCAAAACUUGCCCACCCAAAAUCUGUCCAAAUGGCUCCAAUUGGACAAGAAAUUGCACACUCAAACGAUCAAAACGUAGCAAUUGGGCCAAGCAACAGGCAAUGGCAACAACCAAUGGUUAGAAUUCGAGAACAGUUCAGGCACCAAAACCCAAGAAUCAAAUAGGCAGGCCAGUACAGAGGAUUAAGAAAUGGAAAGCAACACUGCAACCAGUACCACUGGUGCACAGACAGGGAAGAAUUAAAUUCAAUGGCAGCAACUCAACCGCAAGAACUUAAACUGUAAAAUUAAUCGACCAGUACCACUGGUGAGUCACAGGGAAAAAUAAUCAAGCGGCCAAUAAUUCAAUAAAUAACAGAAAAUACCUCCACUAUGGCAGUAAUUAAACCCAAUUCUGUCCAAAAAGCACCCCCAGAAUAUGCCUAAAUCACCCAUGCUAUUAGCUAUAAAGAAACUCAAACACAGGGUGGACUGGAACGACUCAACCAAAAACGCCCAAUAGGCACAACUCGCUUAAUUAGGCAAUCCAGAACACAGGAUUAUCAGAUAUUAAACAACUACCAUCACCAGUACCACUGGUGAGUGCAUAGGGAGAAAUUAAAGCAGCAGUACCCCCAAAUAUCGCAGCAGUUUAACUCAACUCUACCCAAAUUAGACCAGAAAAUGCCCAAAAUUACUGCCCGCUGUUUUCCAACAAGAAGCCCAAGCAAAGGUGCAAAAUUUCGCAAUUUAGAGUUCAGAAUAAGACAAAUUGAGGCAGGAAUCGCAAUACCUCCACCUGCCAACAAUUGACAGGUGGUAACGAGUUGGGGUGGAGCUGGCGGAGAUGAGAGCUCACGAGCUGGUGGUGGGCUGGUGGACUUCGUCGACGAGCUGCAGGGGGGAGGAAGCCCGGCUCGCGGCUCGCGGCUGGGCUACAGGCAGCGGCGCGCGGGGCUGCUGUGGUGGUGGUUGGGGAGCUUGAGCAGGCGGCGGCGCGCAGCUCAGCGGAGAGGGGCGCCAAGCUGGUGGAGGUGAGCUGAAGUGCAGCUUGUUCGCCAAGUGGAGAGAGAGCAGAGGGGCGGCGCUCGCGUCGGCGGCGCAGCAGCGAGCGGCGAGAGCGAGCAGCGGCGUCUGGCAGCCUGCGUCGCGUGAGGAAGGGUGGCGGAUAGGUGGUGGCGGCGCUGGAGUGAGGUCGAGCUGAUGGUGGAGAUGUGCGUUGCGCGGUGGCGGCGGUGGAGAUGAUGGAAGCUACGGCGGCUGCUGGGAAGAGGCGCGGCGGCGUGCGAAGUGGUCGCAGCUGAAGGGAGAGCUGCGAGGUUGGAGCUGCCUCUGGUGCUGCUGGAGGCGGAUGAGCUGGGUGGAGCGGCGAGGUUGGAGGCGGACCGAGGAGCUGUGGAGGACGCCAGGGGGGAAAGGAGCUGUUGGCGCGCGGCGUGGAGGCUGCGGGCUUGUGGGCAGCUGCGUGCGGCUGCAGAUGAGAGAGAGAGAGAGGGUCGCGCCAGGUGGAGUUGGGGCUGCUGCAGAGGUGGCUGCUGGCGAGUGGAGGAGCUGCGUGUGGCGUGGUCGGAGGUGGGGCGCGGCGCACAAGGGGAGAUCAGCGGCGCGCAAGGUGAGAAGCUUCGGUCGACAGGGAGGAAGAAGAAACAGGGGAGAAAAAAGAAAGAAAAGAAAAAGAAGAAGAAAGAGAGAAAGAAAGAAAGAAAAAAGAAAGAAGAAAGAAGGGAAAAAGAAGAAAGAAAAAGAAAGGAAUUUGGUUUUUUUUUUUUUUUUUUUUUUUUUUUUUAACAUUGGAAACCAACGCUGCGAUGAAGAUUUUUUUUUUUUUUUUGAAACUAAAGCUAUGGUGAUAAGAAAUUUUUAUUUUUGUUUUUAUUUUCAUUAUUUUUUUUUUAUUUUUUUAUAUUUUUUUGAAUCCCUACCCUUCCCGCGAACGUGACGCGGGCACGUCAUGAGGGAAAGAGAGCUCCCAGAAGUUUCAGAAUCUCCUGAUCGUGAGCGUCAUGCACAUCACCACGCGGGCACGUCAUGAGGGCAGGAGAGCUCCCAGAAGUUUCAGAAUUUCCUGAUCGUGAGCGUCAUGCACAUCACCACACGGGCACGUCAUGACCGAAGGGCACCUAUAAAUCAGCAAAAACGAAAACUGAAACCAAAAAUCAGUCGAAUUCCAGGAGAACACUUCUAAACUACUACACGAAAUUGAACAACCAACUAAAAGGAACAAUUGGGUUGCCUCCCAAUGAGCGCCUUUCUUUAAUGUCUUUGGCUAGACAUUAUCAUGUUUUGCUCAUGGAGGAUAAAAUCUUAUGGCUCGUCUUACUGCUUCAUCCUCUAUAUAGUCCUGAUAACCCUCGUAAAUAGAAUAAUCCUUGAGCAUACGAGCUACGGGCUUCCAUGGACUAGUGAAUGGCGCCAAACGAGUCGAUGAUAAUUUACAUUCUCCAUUCACUCCUCCCCCACUUGCAUUUAUUGGUUCAAGAUAUCUCACCAUCGCCACUCUUAAUUUAUUCCUGUCAUGAAAUUCAAAAUUGUCUGGUAUAAUAAAGUCAAUUUCGUUAACAGGAAUUGAAGAGUAAGAGUCAGGAGAAUAUUGAUGAAGGAGUGGAGGGGAUGUCACCGCAUUUGGAGAUUGUUCACUGGAUUCAUUCACUUGAACGAGUUGAUCUUGGAGUCUCAUUUCUUGCACUUCAGCUUCCUUUUCAACUGCAUCUUUAAAUCCGUUUUCUUGAAACUCUUGCAGUUCCAUGUCAUUUGGCCGGACAAUUGCACUCUCAUCUUCCUCAAGAUUGAUAUUGGUUUGUGCUGGCAAUUCUUCCAUUUGAGAAGCCAAUCGAUCUAUCCUGGAUGUCAAUUGACGCAUUUGAUCCGCCAGGUCGCGAAGGCUCGCUUGUGUCUUCUGAUGAAAUCGAUUUAGGCUCGCUUGUGUCUCCUGAUGAAAUCGAUUUGAAUUAGCAAUUAGUAAACCUAUCAUUUCUUCAAGAGACAUACCUGACAAGGAGGAUGAUUGCCGAGACUCUUGCUGUUGAAAAUCCAUUGGCCCGGUUGCAUAAUCAAAAUUGGAAUUAUCCCACCAUCCUUGAUCAUACCCGUUUGAAUAAGGGUCACACUGCGUUUGAUAUUGGGGUGGAAAAUCUCCAAAAGUAUCAAUUGGAGCGCUUAAAUUAUCUUGAAAUGCGGGGCAUGUGUCAGUUGAAUAACCUGAAUCAAAAUAAGUUUCACAAUUUGCAACAGCCCAUUGAUCAUUAGGAAAAACAUGAGUCUCAUAACCCCAUUCAGGAACAAAGUCCAGUCUAUCAUCAAAAUAUGGAAUGUUAGCAGCCAUAAAAAAUAAUAAAAAAAAAUAAGAGAAAAAUAAAUUAAAAAAAAUGAAAACAAGAUAAACUCAAAAAGAAACAAAUUAAUCUGGCACCAGUCCCCGGCAACGGCGCCAAAAAUUGACAGGUUGUCAGCCUGUACAAUAAUAAAACCUGCUCAAACUAAAAGUAAUUUCAGUAGAUAGCGGUGAACAGGGUCGAAUCCACAGGGACUGGGAGUAAUUGUUCCUUUUCAAAUUCACAGUGACAAGGGGGUGUUUUUAUGCAGAAGGUGACAAUAAAAGAAAUUCAAAUAAAAUCUAAGAAACUACUAAAAAUUAAAUAACAAAUUACUAAAAUCAAAUGAAUGAUAAUUAAGGAUCUAACCAAGGAAUAACUUCAGCAAUGGUUCACCUAAUUGAUCAUCGAUAAGCAAAGGCAAUUCCAAUUAUUUACUAAUAAAUAGGUUAUAACUGCCAAACAAGCGAUGACAGUCAACCCCUCCUUACUGUGUCGAUGAUUAAGGUACGCCCGUUAAUCACUGCUCUAAUUGAGAAAUAAUCCUAGGUACGCCCAUAGAAUUUAAUUCCCCAAUUGCCUUACGUAUUAGAGGAGCCCUAUUCUAACCAAAUAACGCACUACCAGGGUUAUUUUAGAUUAGCCAGCGUAUUCCCCUGACACAAACCUAAUCAUGCCAGUUGCCACUAUUUUGAGACAAUUAAACAAUUACGGAUUUAAUGUCCCAAUUGACAAUAGAUUAUCAAAUUAACUAAUUAUCCGGAUCCAAGACAAUCAAUUAAUCAAACAAUCAUAAGCACUGCAACCAAGGAAUAUGCGAAUACCAAUAAAUAAAGGAAAAGAUAAAAUUAAAUCGAUCUCACAAUUUUUAGGCGAUCCAAAGCAUCCGUUGCUCCUUAACUAGAAAAAGGGAAUUAGUUCAUUUUGGUGAACAAAUCCCACGCAAAAUCGAAGAGGAAACUGCAGCCAUCAAUUGGAAAAUGCACAAAUUCGAUCCGAUGGAAUACGGGCUGAAAAGAAAAGCUACUGGAAGUAUCCAUUGUUUUUGCUUCUCCUAACAUACGGAGAAAAGAAAACUACUCAAGGCUAAAAGGAAAAGUCAAAGCUAAAGCUACCAAAAUGCUUCCUGACAUGCCAGGGAGACCAAAAGCUGAGCUAAGUUGUCUUUUGCUCCUGCCAUGCCCGCAGGAGGUUUUUUCAAGCCAGAGGCCCCCCCCAGGGAAAAGUCCAGCCUUUUUCUUUUAAGCUACAGACGAGAAACUCAAGAUAAAGCCAGCCGUCAG